GCGAGGAUGGCUGAGUUGGUUAAAGCGUCGGCCUUAAGAUCCGAUGGAGAAAUCCUCGUGGGUUCGAAUCCCACUCCUCGCA
rnacentral:tRNA from 1 species